rnacentral:rRNA from 1 species
CCUACGGGUGGCAGCAGUAGGGAAUCUUUCACAAUGGGCGAAAGCCUGAUGGAGCAACGCCGCGUGCAGGAUGAAGGCCUUCGGGUUGUAAACUGCUUUUAUAAGCGAGAAAUAUGAUGGUAACUUAUGAAUAAGGAUCGGCUAACUACGUGCCAGCAGCCGCGGUCAUACGUAGGAUCCGAGCAUUAUCCGGAGUGACUGGGUGUAAAGAGUUGCGUAGGUGGCAUAAUAAGUAGCUAGUGAAAUCUGGUGGCUCAACCAUUCAGACUAUUGGCUAAACUGUUAAGCUCGAGACCGUUAGGGGUAACUGGAAUUUCUAGUGUAGGAGUGAAAUCCGUAGAUAUUAGAAGGAACACCAAUACCGUAGGCAGGUUGCUGGGACGGUUCUGACACUAAGGCACGAAAGCGUAGGGAGCAAACGGGAUUAGAUACCCCUGUAGUC